ACGCCGACAGACCAUAGUGAUGUCCUGCCCGCCAGUGAACGACCUCAUGGACCUCUGGCCUGCUCUUAAAAUAGAGUCUGAGUUGUAUGCAGAGUUCCAGCGGAUUACAAAUCAGAACCUGCCCAACACGUGCUAUGCUGAGCUUGCCGCUAUCUUCCUCGACUGAUGACCUUAUUCAGACGGAAGGCAUCAAAAACUGGGAAGACAGCAGAUGCUCUGGCUGAAAUUUUAAAAAUCCAUGAUGAACAGGAAAUCCAUGACA